CACACAUUUAGUGGUUACAUCUUAUAGUAAUAGGUGGAGGCCAAAGCUCUUCUUUUUCAUUACACUGUAAUUUUUUUUUUUUACACACAGGAGUCUAAGUCUUAGUAACGGCUUAUUUUCAGUCACUUCUAGAUUCUCUGUAAAGUUGUCAUUUUUACAUACCAUUUUUAUGUGAUACUGGCAUGGCCAAUUUAUCUAGCCACUCAGGGACACAGAAGAGAUAAUUGGGUAGCUGGAAAGUUCAGCUAAAGUUUCUGGAGAUACUUGGGAGAGCAUGUGGACGAUUCAUCUUGGAAAGAAACACAGCCUGACCCCAUAAAUCAUACA